rnacentral:rRNA from 1 species
CCCCGGCGAGGGGAGUGAAAUAGAACCUGAAACCGUGUACGUACAAGCAGUGGGAGCACCUUCGGGUGUGACUGCGUACCUUUUGUAUAAUGGGUCAGCGACUUAUAUUCUGUAGCAAGGUUAACCGUAUAGGGGAGCCGUAGGGAAACCGAGUCUUAACUGGGCGAAUGAGUUGCAGGGUAUAGACCCGAAACCCGGUGAUCUAGCCAUGGGCAGGUUGAAGGUUGGGUAACACUAACUGGAGGACCGAACCGACUAAUGUUGAAAAAUUAGCGGAUGACUUGUGGCUGGGGGUGAAAGGCCAAUCAAACCGGGAGAUAGCUGGUUCUCCCCG